UACGUAGGGUGCAAGCGUUAAUCGGAAUUACUGGGCGUAAAGCGUGUGCAGGCGGUUUGUUAAGACAGGUGUGAAAUCCCCGGGCUUAACCUGGGAAUUGCGCUUGUUACUGGCAAGCUAGAGUGCGUCAGAGGGAGGUGGAAUUCCACGUGUAGCAGUGAAAUGCGUAGAGAUGUGGAGGAACACCGAUGGCGAAGGCAGCCUCCUGGGAUGACACUGACGCUCAUACACGAAAGCGUGGGGAGCAAACAGG
rnacentral:rRNA from 1 species